GUUGGGCAUGGUGAUAUGUGCCUGUGGUACUGGCUGCUGGGAAGCUGAGGCAGGAGGAUGACUUGAGCACAGGAGUCCAAGGCAGCCUCGGCAACACUGUGAGACCCUGUCUCAG
rnacentral:sRNA from 1 species